rnacentral:tRNA from 1 species
ACCUUGGUAGUGUAAUGGAUAAGCACAACUGAACGGACAAUCUGUAGGUGCGGGUUCAAGUCUCGCCUAAUGUU